rnacentral:rRNA from 1 species
AUACGGGGGAUUCAAGCGUUAUCCGGACUUCUUGGGUUUAAAGGGAGCGCAGGCGGAGAUGCAAGCGUGACGUCAAAUUUCGGGGCUCAACCCCGUCUCGCGUCGCGAACUGCGUCCCUUGGUUGCGGGAAGGGGAGGCGGAACUCGUGGUGUAGCGGUUAAAUGCAUAGAUAUCACGAAGAACUCCGAUCGCGAAGGCAGCCUUCCGGCCCGUCAACGACGCUCAUGCUCGAAGGUGCGGGUAUCAAACAGGAUUAGAUACCCUGGUAGUCCGCACAGUAAACGAUGGACACCCGCGGUUUGGCCUGUAUGGCUGAGCCGCCAAGCGAAAGCGUUAAGUGUCCCACCUGGGGAGUACGCCGGCAACGGUGAAACUCAAAGGAAUUGACGGGG